rnacentral:rRNA from 1 species
UACAGAGGUCCCAAGCGUUGUUCGGAUUCACUGGGCGUAAAGGGUGCGUAGGCGGUCGGGUAAGUCUGAUGUGAAAUCUCACAGCUUAACUGUGAAACUGCAUUGGAUACUAUCCGGCUAGAGGAAUGGAGGGGAGACUGGAAUACUUGGUGUAGCAGUGAAAUGCGCAGAUAUCAGGAAGAACACCCGUGGCGAAGGCGGCUCUCUGGGACGGUACUGACGCUGAGACGCGAAAGCGUGGGGAGCGAACAGG